UUUCUUUUCUUCUUCUCUCUAUACGUUGGUGUUCUAACCAAUAAUCACCGAUGCGAUGUUCUGUCCGAUCAAUUCAGGAACCAACUAACGGAUGCCAAAGUGCUAUACUUUGAGAGUUCGUUAAACGGAUGCCAAAGUACUAUACUUUGAGAGUUCGUUAAACGGAUGCCAAAGUAUUAUACUUUGUGAUUUCGGUAAACGGAAUCCAAAGUGUUACACUUUGUGAAAUUCAUUAAGGUUCGAAUCUCGUGACUACCGUUAAGGUUUGAUUUGGGUUUUACACAAAUACGUAUUCCAUUCUGUUAAACUAUAUGUUUAACUACCAAAAAUACUCCCAACUACACACUCACAAUCAAACAAACUAUUAAAUCAUCAGAAGAUCCAGAAUAAUAAAGUGCAUGCUUAAUUAUCGGAAGAAGUAGAAUCAGGAAGCUUGUUAACUCAAUCUUGCAUGCUUAUAAAGUAAUUACAGUAGAUUGGCGUAAGGAUUGGAUCCGGCACUGAAAGAACUUCAAGAAGUGGCUUAUUUUAUUAAUUAAAUCAAAUUAAGAAAUAUUGUUUUUAUUAAAAGCUACCUUUGUAAAACAUGGAAUUUAUUCCAUCUAUUUAAAAUAAAAUCCGGUGUUUCUAAACUCUGAUAUUUUCCUAACUCACGGUCCCGAUGAAAGUUCCGCUGCAAUGUUUUUCAAAAUAAUCACCGGUACCACUGGACUGCUCACGGCACCGAUUCCGGCCAGAUGGGGUCGGGGGUCGUGACAGAAGGUGGUAUCAGAGCUAAGCCACUGCUUUAAGCCUAUAAGUGUUGUGAUAAUAAUACUUAAGCUUAAAUAAAAAGAGUUAGGAGAUUACUAUUAAAUGGUAGCACAACCGAUAGCAGUUAGACUUGAACAUAAGAAAAGAUGCCUUAGUAUAAGCUAAGCCACUUGUUUACGCAAUUAGGUGUUAUAAUAAUACCUAAGUUUAAACGGAGAAUUAGAAACUUAAUAUUAUCUGAUAGCACUCUGAAUGAUAUUUAGACUUGAACUUAAGAAUU
rnacentral:lncRNA from 1 species